rfam:Physcomitrella patens subsp. patens PHYPAscaffold_80 genomic scaffold, whole genome shotgun sequence.
UAAGAGGCUUUUAUAAAAGCCAUAUAUAGAUACCUAAAUUAUAAUU